rnacentral:rRNA from 1 species
UGCCAGCAGCCGCGGUAAUACGUACUGCGCGAACGUUAUUCGGAAUCACUGGGCUUAAAGGGUGCGUAGGCGGUUUUUCAAGUCAGGUGUGAAAUUUUUCGGCUCAACCGGAAAACUGCAUCUGAAACUGAUUGACUUGAGUGUGCUAGGGGUGUGUGGAACUGCCAGUGGAGCGGUGAAAUGUGUUGAGAUUGGCAGGAACACCGAUGGCGAAGGCAUCUCUCUGGGCCGAUAUUGACGCUGAGGCGCGAAGGCGUGGGUAGCGAACGGGAUUAGAUA